AACAAACGCUGGCGGCGUGUCUUAAGCAUGCAGGUUGAGCGGCAAGGAGGAGAGAUCCUCCCUAGAGCGGCGGACUGGUGAGUAACGCGUGGGUAAUCUAUCGUAGGCAUGGGGAUAGUCACUAGAAAUAGUGGGUAAUACCGAAUACGUUCCAUGAGGGGAGUAUUCAUGGAAGAAAGGGCGCUACGGCACUGGCCUUAGGUGAGCUCGCGUCCCAUUAGCUAGUUGGUGAGGUAAAGGCCCACCAAGGCGAUGAUGGGUAGCCGGCCUGAGAGGGUGUACGGCCACACUGGGACUGAGAUACGGCCCAGACUCCUACGGGAGGCAGCAGCUAAGAAUAUUCCGCAAUGGACGAAAGUCUGACGGAGCGACGCCGCGUGGAUGAAGAAGGCCGAAAGGUUGUAAAGUUCUUUUGCUAGGGGAGAAUAAGUGAGGGAGGGAAUGCCCUCAUGAUGACAAGGACUAGCGAAUAAGCCCCGGCAACUACGUGCCAGC
rnacentral:rRNA from 1 species